rnacentral:rRNA from 1 species
UGCAUAUCAAAUAAGCGGAGGAAAAGAAAAUAACCAUGAUUGCCCUAGUAACGGCGAGUGAAGAGGCAAAAGCUCAAGUUUGGAAGCUCAAUGGUUUAACCAUUGCGCAUUGUAAACUGAAAACAGGAUCAAUCAGGUACACCGGGUGAUAAGUUCCUUGGAAUAGGACAUCAUGGAGGGUGAGAAUCCCGUCUUUGACCCGAGUCUAGUAUCUUUUGUAUUGGCCUGUUCAAGAGUCAGGUUGUUUGGGAAUGCAGCCUAAAGCUGGAGGUAAAUCCCUCCUGAAGCUAAAUAAUGGCGAGAGACCGAUAGCGAACAAGUACCGUGAGGGAAAGAUGAAAAGAACUCUGAAGAGAGAGUUAAACAGUACGUGAAAUUGCUUAAAGGGAAGCAUAUAAAGCUAGGAUGCGAUUGUUUUCUUCAGGUUGAGCUUUGGCUUGACUGUUCAGAAGGAUAAUCCAAGACAACAAGAAUUGGAGGAGGAGAAUAAGCCAUUGGGGAAGGUAAUCCUUCGGGAUGUUUAUAGACCUGAUGGUUCGCGCUCUUCUUUCGAUUGAGGUACGCUUUUUUUAAAGGUUGUUGUCUGAAUGGCUUUAUAUGGCCCGUCUUGAAACACGGA